rnacentral:rRNA from 1 species
GACAGAGGGUGCAAACGUUGUCCGGAAUUAUUGGGCGUAAAGAGCUCGUAGGCGGCUUGUCACGUCGGGUGUGAAAGCCCGGGGCUUAACCCCGGGUCUGCAUUCGAUACGGGCAGGCUAGAGUGUGGUAGGGGAGAUCGGAAUUCCUGGUGUAGCGGUGAAAUGCGCAGAUAUCAGGAGGAACACCGGUGGCGAAGGCGGAUCUCUGGGCCAUUACUGACGCUGAGGAGCGAAAGCGUGGGGAGCGAACAGG